rnacentral:rRNA from 1 species
AUUGAACGCUGGCGGCAGGCCUAACACAUGCAAGUCGAGCGGAGCGGCGGACGGGUGAGUAAUGCCUAGGAAUCUGCCUGGUCGUGGGGGAUAACGUCCGGAAACGGGCGCUAAUACCGCAUACUAUCAGAUGAGCCUAGGUCGGAUUAGCUAGUUGGUGGGGGAAAGGCCUUCCAAGGCGACGAUCCGUAACUGGUCUGAGAGGAUGAUCAGUCGCAAUGGAACGCAGACACGGGCCAGACGCCUCCGGGAGGCAGCAGUGGGGAAUAGUGCACAAUGGGCGCAAGCCGGAUGCAGCCAUGCCGCGUGUAUGAAGAAGGCCUUAGGGUUGUAAAGUACUUUCAGCGGGGAGGCGGUACCCGCAGAAGAAGCACCGGCUAACUCCGUGCCAGCAGCCGCGGUAAUUC